GGUUUUGCUUCCAUUUCUGAUGUCUGUGCUGCAAUUUAAGAAGCCUGCCUUGCACCAACGGUUCUCAUUAAAAUAGGCCUAGGCUGGUCCCUGCUACUAUCUAGAUUUCAGGAACAAAGCUCUUUAUGGGUCCUAAAUACCUUAGGAAUGUAGGUAAUCAAAAAACAAACAAACGUUAUCUCAAAAGUCCCUUUCCUUCCUUAAAAGCCCUCCCAGAGUGACAGAUGUGAAGCUGUGCCCUGGACACUCAAGUAGUCUGGCACAUGCCCAGCUAUGGAGCCCCGGGCCCUGGGGAUAACAUGGUUCUGGCCACUUCUACUUAAGGCCUUUCUUGUCCCCAGUGAAGUUCUCACCCCACCCUUGAAUUGCUAAUACAUUAUCCCAGGGCAGACUUGGAGAAUGGCUGGACCAAAAGGAAAAGAACCUUCUCAUCCUAAUACAGAAUAGAGUUUCCUGAAUAGGAGAGAGCUCAGGAGAACUCCAAGCUGCU